AGCGGCAGGCUUAACACAUGCAAGUCGAGGGGUAUAGUUCUUCGGAACUAGAGACCGGCGCACGGGUGCGUAACGCGUAUGCAAUCUACCUUUUGCAGAGGGAUAGCCCAGAGAAAUUUGGAUUAAUACCUCAUAGUAUGUGAGAAUGGCAUCAUUUUCACAUUAAAGUCACAACGGCAAAAGAUGAGCAUGCGUCCCAUUAGCUAGUUGGUAAGGUAACGGCUUACCAAGGCAACGAUGGGUAGGGGUCCUGAGAGGGAGAUCCCCCACACUGGUACUGAGACACGGACCAGACUCCUACGGGAGGCAGCAGUGAGGAAUAUUGGACAAUGGGCGCAAGCCUGAUCCAGCCAUGCCGCGUGCAGGAUGACGGUCCUAUGGAUUGUAAACUGCUUUUGUACAGGAAGAAACACUCCCUCGUGAGGGAGCUUGACGGUACUGUAAGAAUAAGGAUCGGCUAACUCCGUGCCAGCAGCCGCGGUAAUACGGAGGAUCCAAGCGUUAUCCGGAAUCAUUGGGUUUAAAGGGUCCGUAGGCGGUUUAGUAAGUCAGUGGUGAAAGCCCAUCGCUCAACGGUGGAACGGCCAUUGAUACUGCUAGACUUGAAUUAUUAGGAAGUAACUAGAAUAUGUAGUGUAGCGGUGAAAUGCUUAGAGAUUACGUGGAAUACCAAUUGCGAAGGCAGGUUACUACUAA
rnacentral:rRNA from 1 species